rnacentral:misc_RNA from 1 species
ACAAACUUGGUCAUUUAGAGGAAGUAAAAGUCGUAACAAGGUUUCCGUAGGUGAACCUGCGGAAGGAUCAUUAGAGAGACCGGGCGAGUUUAAAAAUUAAAAAAAAACCCAAACGCUCAAGACAUGGUUCUUCAGCGGCCCGACCUCUGGGGGGCGGUGAUUCCGGGCCUCUCUGCCCGGAACCCGGUUACCCCCCAAGACCAUUUCCACAAACCCGUGGAGGCGAGGAAACACACCCACUCCGGAGGCAGGCGGUGGCCGUCGCACCCGACGCGCCGCGCCGCACCGGACGCGGGCAUGCCCGCGAGCGCCACCUCGGUGGUGCAGCACCCUAGAAGAAACCGAAAAAACUUUCAACAACGGAUCUCUUGGUUCUCGCAUCGAUGAAGAACGCAGC